AAUUCGUACAGUAAAAUACUUGUAUCAAGACAUCUGUAUAUAGAACCUAACAAACAUAAUAAUCAUCACAGUGGCCUGGAAGAGCUGUAUGUAUUGCAAAAUGAUCGGAAAUGUGCAACUCGGAUUGAAUAUUAGGACUAGAAGUGAUUGGAUUAUCAAUAUCACGAACUGCAGUAUCUGAAUUUUGGUGAUAUACUUCUUCCACCAAAGGCUGCCCUUAAGCUCUGGAUACAUUGCGGAAAUAAAGUAAUAAAAAUACAUAACAGUAUGCACAAAAGUGUUCAGAGUUCCCAUCACAGUAUAUUGGCCAGCACAUCCAUAGAAGUGUAUCACCCAAUAAGUGGUAUAAACCAUCAUUACAUGAUGAUAAACGUGCAGAAAAGUGAUCUGUUUAUAGCUUUUGCGCAGCACAAAGAAAAUCGUAUCCAGCAGAUCAAUAGUCUUGUUUAGAAAGUAGGUGUAUGCCACCAUACGCUCAGUUCCCUUCAUCGGAUGAUCGUCUCGAAGAAUUACAAUGCACCGUAUAUCGUAAACCGGCUUCAGGAUUAUAAGAUAUAUACCCUGAAAAAGAAAAACACAUUUAGCUUCAUGUCAUCAUAAUCGCAAGUUUCCAGCCGCACAUAAUAAAAUAGAAUCGCAUUGUAGAUCAUCUGACAAAAGUUGUAGACCAGUAUUAUAUUUUUCAAAUUGUACGGCAUUCGGUGCUCCAUAAAAAUUUUUCCGAGUUUAAGUACAAAUAGUAAAUAGCACAUCAAGAUGAAUGUUACAGGCAAUGGCGAGCCUAGCAAUGGCAUAUCCCUGGCCAUUACAGGAUCUAUGGAGAAUCCUCAGAUUUUGUAAGAGGAAUCGAUUAUUGAAUAAAAGGAUAUUUUACCUGUUGGCGGUCUAUAGAAAACCUCGAAUAUGCCCAUUUUGCUGAGUUAAAUUUAAAAUCGGGCUCUUGUAAGCUGAAACUGCUACAUAGAAAUAAACAUAUACACCAAUUUACAA